AGAGUUUGAUCAUGGCUCAGAACGAACGCUGGCGGCGUGGAUAAGACAUGCAAGUCGAACGGGAUCAUUGAGGUAGCAAUAUCGCGAUGGUCUAGUGGCGAACGGGUGCGUAACACGUGGAUACAUUCCGGGAAGCGGGGGAUAGCCCAGGGAAACUUGGAUUAAUACCGCAUGUGGUCGAAAGACUAAAGGCAGGGACCGCAAGGCCUGCCACUUCCCGAUUGGUCCGCGGCCUAUCAGCUAGUUGGCGGGGUAAAAGCCCACCAAGGCUACGACGGGUAGCUGGUCUUAGAGGACGACCAGCCACACUGGAACUGAGACACGGUCCAGACACCUACGGGUGGCAGCAGUCGAGUAAUUUUUCACAAGUGGGGGAAACCCUGAUGGAGCGACGCCGCGUGGGGGAUGAAGGGCUUCGGCUCGUAAACCCCUGUCAUUCGCGAAUAAUUGCCGCGUUCUAACACAACUCGGUUUGAUAGUAGCGGAAGAGGAAGGGACGGCUAACUCUGUG
rnacentral:rRNA from 1 species